UACGUAGGCAGCGAGCGUUGUUCGGAGUUACUGGGCGUAAAGGGUGUGUAGGCGGUCCUCUAAGUUUGGUGUGAAAUCUCCCGGCUCAACCGGGAGGGUGCGCCGAAAACUGGGGGACUAGAGUGCGGGAUGGGAAAGUGGAAUUCCUGGUGUAGCGGUGAAAUGCGCAGAUAUCAGGAAGAACACCAAUGGCGAAAGCAGCUCUCUGGGACGGUACUGACGCUGAGACGCGAAAGCGUGGGGAGCGAACAGG
rnacentral:rRNA from 1 species